rnacentral:rRNA from 1 species
UCCGUAGGCGGGUCAUUAAGUCAGAGGUGAAAUCCAACAGCUUAACUGUGGAACUGCCUUAGAUACUGAUGAUCUUGAGUUUUAGUGAAGUAGAUAGAAUGUGUAGUGUAGCGGUGAAAUGCAUAGAUAUUACACAGAAUACCGAUUGCGAAGGCAGUCUACUAACUAACAACUGACGCUAAUGGACGAAAGCGUAGGGAGCGAACAGGAUUAGAUACCCUGGUAGUCC